GAGUAACGCGUAAGAAUCUACCUUCAGGUUGGGGACAACCACUGGAAACGGUGGUUAAUACCGAAUGUGCCGAGAGGUGAAAGGCUUGCUGCCUGAAGAAGAGCUUGCGUCUGAUUAGCUAGUUGGUGGGGUAAGAGCCUACCAAGGCGACGAUCAGUAGCUGGUCUGAGAGGAUGAUCAGCCACACUGGGACUGAGACACGGCCCAGACUCCUACGGGAGGCAGCAGUGGGGAAUUUUCCGCAAUGGGCGAAAGCCUGACGGAGCAAUACCGCGUGAGGGAGGAAGGCUCUUGGGUUGUAAACCUCUUUUCUCAGGGAAGAAAAAAAUGACGGUACCUGAGGAAUAAGCAUCGGCUAACUCCGUGCCAGCAGCCGCGGUAAUACGGAGGAUGCAAGCGUUAUCCGGAAUGAUUGGGCGUAAAGGGUCCGCAGGUGGCAUUGUAUGUCUGCUGUUAAAGAGUCUGGCUCAACCAGAUCAAAGCAGUGGAAACUACAAAGCUAGAGUCUGGUCGGGGCAGAGGGAAUUCCUGGUGUAGCGGUGAAAUGCGUAGAUAUCAGGAAGAACACCGGUGGCGAAGGCGCUCUGCUAGGCCAAAACUGACACUGAGGGACGAAAGC
rnacentral:rRNA from 1 species